rnacentral:rRNA from 1 species
GUGCAGCAGUCGAGAACCUUUACAAUGCACGAAAGUGUGAUAAGGUUACCCGGAGUGCUAAAUUAAAUUUAGCUGUUAUAGGUGUGUAAAUAACCCUAUGAGAAAGGAGAGGGCAAGGCUGGUGCCAGCCGCCGCGGUAAACCAGCUCUUCAAGUGGUCGGGAAUAUUAUUGGGCUUAAAGUGUCCGUAGCCGGUUUAGUAAGUUCCUGGUUAAAUCUGGCAGCUUAACUGUCAGUCAGCUAGGAAUACUACUUUACUAGAGGGUGGGAAAGGUUUGAGGUACUCCAGGGGUAGCGGUGAAAUGCGAUAAUCCUUGGGGGACCACCAGUGGCGAAGGCGUCAAACUGGAACACGCCUGACGGUGAGGGACGAAAGCCAGGGGAGCGAACGGGAUUAGAUACCCGUGUAGU